rnacentral:rRNA from 1 species
UACGUAGGGGUCUAGCGUUGUCCGGAAUCAUUGGGCGUAAAGAGCUCGUAGGCGGUUCGGCAAGUCGGAUGUGAAAUCUCCACGCUCAACGUGGAGGGGCCAUUCGAAACUGCCGUGACUCGAGUCCGGUAGGGGAGUGCGGAAUUCCCGGUGUGAGCGGUGAAAUGCGCAGAUAUCGGGAGGAACACCAGUGGCGAAGGCGGCACUCUGGGCCGGAACUGACGCUGAGGAGCGAAAGCGUGGGGAGCGAACAGG